GGCUGCGUAGCUCAGCGGUUAGAGCAGGGUCUUCAUAAGGCCAAGGUCGGUGGUUCGAUUCCACCCGCAGCUA
rnacentral:tRNA from 1 species